AGGUUAUCGUCUAUUUGGUAAUUCCAAUCUUUUUCAAAAAUUUUAUGCUUGUUUUUAACUUAGUUUUUAAGAAGUGUGCAAUAUUUGAAUUAAGAUUUAUGGUUCAUUCAUUAAUUAUUGAGGCUUAAAUUUAUUAUAGAAAUUAUUAGGAUUUGAUUAGGAUUUGAUUUAGGAUUAGGAUUUAGGAUUUGAUUAGGAUUUGAUUUAAGAUUAGGAUUUGGUUAGGGUUUGAUUUAGGAUUUAGGAUUAGGAUUAAGAUUUGGUUAGGAUUUGGUUUACGUUUUAGGAUUUGAUUAGGAUUUGAUUUAGGAUUUAGGAUUUUAUUUGAGUUUAUUUAAGAUAUAAGAUUUAGUUAGUUUUUGGCCUAAAAUUUGAAUGAAGUAAGUUUUCAACUAGGAUUAUAUUAAGAUUGAAUUGAGAUAUAUUUGAGAUAUGUUUGUAAUCAUUCUAAUAUUUCUUUAAGAUUUUUUAUUGUUUCUUUGGAAUUCCUUUGAAGUUUCUCUGAAUUUGAUUAAAGCUUAUUUAACAUUGUUAGUGUUCUAUUAGAGUUAGAUAUUUGUUGUUGCAAUUUCUAUUCUACCUUCUAUAACGAGGUGACUAGAGCAUUCUCAAGUAAGACUUCAUGUAUUACAAUACUGUUUUAAAUCUCCAACUGAAGCUCAUGUUUUAU
rnacentral:lncRNA from 1 species